rnacentral:lncRNA from 1 species
AAGUAAGUGCCCCAAUAAUUUAGUUUUGGGUAAAUUACAAUGACCUCCCCUGAAGUUUCGAGUUAAUACACAAAAUACUCUUGAUGUUUGGAAAAAUUAUUAAUAACUCCCACGCAGGUUGAACUUGUAAUAUAUCUCCCAUUUUAUAUGACCACUCUGCGGUUAUUAGUUAAUACACACAGCAUGCCCUGACAAAGUGACUUGUUGUCUUUGACAAGGAUGUUAAUUGACGUUUCAGGAUGCUUUGUGUAUUCAAUAGGAACUCAGGGGUGGCCAAUCCACAAAAUGGGAAAAUCUGUUACAAGUUCAAAACCUCAGGAGAGAUCAUUUAGUUUUUAAAUAUCAGGGGUACUUUAUGUAUUAACUUAAAACCUCAGGGGAGGGUCAAGUGAAAUUAUCCUUUAGUUUUAUGCCUACCAAGUUAUCAGAAAAACCGGGGGGGUGGUUUUUUGGGGUUUUUUCGGGGGGGGUGGGUUUUUUUUUUUUGGGGGGGGGGGUCUUUUUUUUUUUGGGGGAAACCACCGGUCAAAGCACCGGUUCAACGUUUUACUGGUCUCACCACGGUUCAAUCGUUCAACCGGGAUGGAUUGAUAAUUAAUAAAUAAUAAAAUUAUAUUUUUGAUGAUAUAAAUAAAUUAAAAAAAAUAUUUUUUUUACCCAUUCAUAGUUAAAAAAUUCAAUCAUAGAAAAACACUAUUAAAAAAUUAAAAAUCAAUUCAAAUUUUUUUGGGUGCUCAAACUUAUAAAAAUUAAAAUUUCAAUUCAAAAUUUUGGGGUCAAACUGUAAAAAAUUAAAAUUUUAAUUUUUCUGUUAAAAAAACUGGCCGGUUCAAACGGUUCAAUCCGGUGCGCUUCUGCAAUUUUCGGUAAAAUAGUAUGUACCGAACUGGUUUAGUGCCCGGUUCCCAGUUGAAACAGGCCAAUUCGGUCCGAUUUUAAUAAACUAUGAUUCCUACUGCUUCAUUAUCUAGUUUUUUUUUUUUAAGCGAAUAUUUUUUAAAUGAUUGUGAUUUGAUUUUAUUUGGUUUAGUUAUUUUUUUUUGUUAUUUAAUCAAAUUUUUUUUUGUUCCUCUCAAGGCGAAGAGUCCAAAAAUAUAAUUUUAUUAUUUAAUUGAAAAAAAAUUCACUAAAAAUAAAAAAAAUAUUUUAUCCAAAAAAUAUCAUCUAAAUAUGGCCUCUUUUCGUUUUUAGCGAGUUUUUUUUAAAAAUUAAAUAAAAUCUUUUAUAUUUAGGGCAUGUAUAGAUUAAGGAUGUGGUGACACACACAAAAAAACAGAAAUCGAAAAGGUAAAUCAUCCCAUAGUUUUGAACGGUUGGAUCGUCUAUAUUUUUUUUUUUAAUUUUAUUUUUUCUCAUAAAAUACGUGAUCCAAACACGACUUUAGUAAACUUUUUCCAUAGUUCGAUCAAAAUUUAUAAUUUUUUAUUUUAUUUAAUGAGAGAAAUGUGAAAAUAUAAAAAAAUUCAUCUAAUUUUAAAAAAAAAUUCACUAAAAAAAAUAAUUUACUCAACAAAUUACCUAAUUUUCUUUUGUUUCCUUACCAUUAAGAGCAUCUACCUCAAGUUGGCUAAAAGUCAAUAUUGGCAAAAUUAGGCAAUAAAAUAUCAAAAAUAGUUCACAUCAAAUAGCUAAGUAAGCCUACAAAAAUAAAUUUAUUACGGUGCCUAGUCAACUUUAACUAAUCACUGUUCACAUGUUAUUUAAAGUACAAAUUAUAUUUUGCAUCAUUAUACUUUUACUAAAAUAUUGUUUUAGAUCAUUCUACUUUUAAUUGUAUCGAUUAACUUCUUAAACUUGAUAUUUUUAUCUGUAUACCGUUUAAUUAAAAAUAUAUGGGUAAAAUAUUACCAUUAAAAUAAUGUGACCCUUUAAAAAAAUGGACGGUUAAAAAAAAACUUGAGAAUAGAAAUAAUAAAUAAAAAAAAUAAUAUUCUAUUAAAAUAAAAUUAAAAUAGAAAUGCCACUGAAGUUAGUGUAUAGAAGAGAGAUAGAUAGAUAGAGAGAGAGAGAGAGAGAGAGGUCCCAUGAUAACCAACAAAUACAAUUAUCAUUAUGUAACGACCCAGGCUUGUUUCAGACAGUUGGCCAACUUAACUUGAACUUAAACAAACGAAUUCCACUUAAGUUUCUGUUAUGACUCAAAAAGCCCUUUAAUUUGACAAAACUCGAUGUUGUUGUUUUUUUGAAAAAAAAAAAAAAAGAAAAAAGGAACCUUAGUUAGUUAGUUUCAAUUUCUCUUUAUAGUUUUAUUUUUCUUAUUUUAUUUAGAUGGUUUACUAUCACCUAUAUUUGUACUUUCUAAUACCGCCCGUCUUUGCUCUAACUCGGUAAUUCUAACGUACGUGAUGUUGUAGUAGAAAUUUGGAAUAAAUAACCAAUAGUCAGAAUUGCUUAGAAAACUCGGCAUUGACCUCGGCAGCCUGCACAAGAAAGCAAACGUAACCAUCCGAGGUGAGACCGCUACAACUCCUCCGGCGUGGAGGUGAGACCCAGAUGAAUA